AAUCUAUGAUUUUAGUGGUGUUGCAACACUUUUUAGCCGACUUUGAAAAAGGAGGAAGUUUUACGUUCUGCUGUAUGUGUAUUUUCAUCUAAUCUAAACAUACUGGAAGUCACAAGCACAAGUCAGCAGCUAUAAAUUGUCAAAAUCAGCAGCGCUAUAAAUAUUAUAAACAUAGAUCUGUAAUUAUAAAUCUUUUAUGGAUGAGUAGAAUGAAGAAUGUCCAGAAUGAGUCUUUACAAGCAGCGUGGUGAAGCCAGUGAAACCGGAUCUUAGGCUGCAAGUCCAUUGAAGCGGAGCGAGGCAGCGAAGCCGAGAAACAGAGAAAUAUUAACCAAUAGGAGUGCACCAAAUCUCCGCACCUCUUAAGUCGACAGGGACUUGCAAGCUAGUUUAAAAAUUCAUAUAAAACCAGUAAGCGGAGCGGGUAAACGGAGCGAGGUUAAAUAAAUUAAAUUUGACUUUUAUUUAUUUAUUUAACAUAGUCUGCAACUCCGUAUAGGAGUACAGACACAGUACGCAACUCCGCUCCACAUUAGUCCGUUUCUCCGCUACGAUCCCUCGCUCCGCUCUGGUGGACAGACAGCUUAUGAUCAUUAUUGAUAGCAGAUGUCUACAACAGCUAAAUCUGCAUGAAAUUAAAUAUUUUUCAGAUAA